CUCUCUCUCUCUCUCUCUCUCUUUGCGUUGCCGGCCGCCGCCGCACCCCCACCGCAUCAUCGCCGGCGCCGGUACCCCAAUCAACACCAAAAUUUCCAGAUUUUCUCCUAUUUAUUUCCUCUAUCUAGUUCUCAAACCAAAAUCGUGAGAUUUAGCCAUCCAAUCAUCCAAAAACCCUAGAACUCGAAAUCAAUUUGGGGGUUUUUGUGAUUUCUGCAUUCUAAGUCCAAAUCAAGGUUACGAGUUUGGCAAGGAUUUGUGAUGAAGAUGGCUAAGGAGGAGGAGAGGCUGUGAGUUUUUGGAGAAGAAAGGGAAACACGAUCUUUAAGGAAGCUCAAGCAGAAAGCACUGUGGAAUACGCCGACAUUUCUAGGUUACAACGAGGUCACUCCGGACGAUCUGGACUAGAAGUGGGUCAUUGGCCGAGUUCGUGUGUUGCUAUCCAUGUUGCUUGAAGUCCUCCCCUUUGGUACUCUAUCAAUUUACUCGCUAUCCUUUCAAUGUUGAACUCAGUUGAAUUCUGCGAGGUCUGCCUACCUAGGAGCGCGCCUCACUCUAUGUUUUAUUGUUGUUGUUGAACUCCUUUUAUUUCGGUUAUGAUGUAAGCCCUAAGGCGUCACAGUGCACUUGCCUACUUUAUUUUGA